UGACGGUGAAUCCCGCAGCAAAGCGCGGGCAAAAUUUCUAGUGAUGAUCCAUUUGAGCUACGUCUACGAGCAAGGUUUCGUCACAAAUCUACAAUCUCGAUGCGAAUCUCUGCCUUCUUCAUCUCUAUCAGAACGUGUGAGCACUCAAAUUGUUACACUGAUAUUGGAAAGCUUCUGAAGAUGAAGCUAGAUGAGGUUUCAGCUAGCACUCAAAUAGUUGCUCGUAUUCUGGUUAAGGUCUGCAUUUCAAUCAUGAAAAGCUCUCGACUUUUGAUUUAGAUUGUUGUUGAUUAAGUGGUGGAAUAAGAAAUGUGUUUAAAGUUUUGUGUAUGUUAAUGUGUAGGCACUGAUGGCAAUUCCCACUCUCGAUCCAGCCUUUGUCUCUUCCUAAUUCCAGAAAGAGUGGUAUUUUUCUUUUAUUCUCUACCGAUUUACAAUUUAGUUGUUUCCAUGAACAAUUAUAUUUGGUUGAAAGAACUGAAAAUUGUUCAAGGUGCUUCAGGGGUCGAAGUGGAACUUUAAGUUUGAAGCUUUGCUACCCCUAUUGGUACAUUACAUGCUUUGUAGUUUGUCAGGGGGAAAUGAAGUGAAUUAAAAAACAAUGUUCUUGCUGAGAUCACACUGAAUUUAAUUUGUGCUUAUUGGGUUUACAUGUUGAACUCGUUUUUCUUAUUAAGUUGCAGUAAAUUGUCAUUCUCCCAUGAGAGAUGAGAUCUGAUGCAAAAAAAAAAAAUAUAUAUAUUUGGUCUAUUGAGUUCACCAAAAGUUCGAGAGUUUUGAUAAACUAAUCCCCUCCUUUAUUUCUAUCUUCCCAUAUCGGCAAAUGGAGGAGCAAUUCAAGACAUUGAUUGUCCUAUCUCAUUAUUUGGAGGUGCUUUCUUUACUGGAUAAUUGGAUAUGUAGAUCCAUCAGCUAUGCAGUUCCUAAAACUCUAGUUCUUUACUGUAUUUACAUUACAAAUAGACCAUUCUCAGAGCUAAAAAAUCCUCUCCAUUGUCCGCCAUACUAAGCAAGCUCGAGACUCCACAACUCCCAAAAGGUGGAAAUCUUUCGAUUCUGCAGCUCUCAAGUACAGUUUAUCUCAUUCUCUGAUGUUGAGUACCUGGAAUCCGCCGUUUUCCGGUGGGCAAGGGUUAGAACUAGGCUGCAAAGGCUUGUUCUUUUUCUUAUACAUACUUCUUUCUCAUAUUUCCAUAGUUUAUUAGACAUUCAUUCUAAUAAUAACACUUUGUCAUAGGUUUGUUUGAGGAUGAGAAAGCACACAAAGUUAAUUCUUCAACAUUGGCUUGAAGCUAUUGAUCCACACCAGUAGUAUGGACACAAUUUACACAUGAACUACGAUUUAUGAUUUGAAAGUGAGAGCAGCCAGCCUUUCUUCUACUGACGGAUACCCAUCUGAAUUGUGGGAAGGCACUACUGGAAAUGCUAUUAUGUAUUUAUGUCCCCCUGCCAUCAUAUGUUGCAAAAGACUUGGGACUAUGUUCAAAAGCCGUGAUGGGUCCUGCUGGAAUCUGUUUGCUGUGUUUUUGAACAUUUGGUGGAACUAUGGGCUUAUUUGGGAAGAGAAAUUAUUGAAGAAUGUCACUGUGUUAUGUUGUGUACUGGUAGCUUCUUCUUUUUUUGAGGCAAGCGACAUUUUACUGAUCUUUGGCUGUAAUUAAAGAGUUGGUGAAUGAAAAGCAAUUGGAUAGGCAAGAAAUGGAUGACUUGCUGCA